AUUACUUCUUAGCCUUUUGGCUAAGAUCAAGUACAGCAUAUGUUCUGGUCAGUUUAAUACCUGAUACAUCCUUGCUAAGAGGACUUUAUUUUAAAUGGGUUUGUGCAUGAGAGUUGGACCUGUCAUUUACUCCCUCUGCUGCAUGGAUUAUCCCAGUAUUGCAGUGCCUCCAGGAACGGUGUACCCUUU